AGUUCGUUUUUUUUAGCAUUAGAAAGAACUUGAAAGAAGGUAAGCGAUCUUGACAUGUCUUUUAAUUGAAAAACGCUUUUUAAAAAUCAAUAACUAUUACUUAUGAAAGCAGAAGAACAUAAAUGAUCGUAUUAGAUUCAUAAUUGUUACAUAUUUGCCGUAACUUAUUUUUAAAACGUGUUUUUCAAUUAAAAGACACAUCAAGAUUGUUUACCUUAUUUCUUAUGCGAAAAAAAACGAACUAUAGCUCAGUAAGCGUAAGCACCAUUUUCUUUUAGACAACACAUCGUAAUACGUAUAGACACAAUACCUAGUGGGCGCUAUUGCCUUUGCAUGAUAAUGAUAAAUAUUCGUAUAAACUGAUGUCAUGCAAUUUUGUCUCUUUCUCAAUUUGGAAACAGAAAGGGAUAAAUAUAUGAUUAACACCACUUUUAACGCUUAUUUACUAAAAACAACAACACUUGUCUAUAAAACGAGGUCUUAACCAGUCAGGCAUUCAUAUCAAAGCAAUAUGAACCUUCGCUUAUUCAUAUAAGGUUUAAUUUCAAAUUGUCAUUCAAUGACUGGCGUAAAAUGGCGAAAGUGCCCGUUUCUUAUUUAAAGACCUUCCAGCUUUUAGAUUCAAAUCAAAUUUUACAGUCUUUGUUGUUUGCACGAUAUAACUAUAAGUAGAUUAUAAUAGCUAAAUGGAAGUAGCCAAAGAAGUAGCCUAGCAAAUGUUAAACAGUUUCAGAGAAAUAGUAGAAGAAUCGUUUGAUUUUCCUAUUAAGUAGGUACCUACCUAAAUUCAUUAUAAACAGGCACAUCACAGAAUGAGAUUGCAACCUUAGGUUGGUACAUAAUAUCACGUUAGAGAGAUAUACA